rnacentral:rRNA from 1 species
GAUGAACGCUGGCGGCAUGCCUAACACAUGCAAGUCGAAGGGGAGCGUUAGGUAUAGUGUGGUUUGGGUGGGUAACGAGUGGGGAACGGGUGAGAGGUUCGGAAUGACUCUGCGACAUACGUGGGAAUAGCGGUGCGUGUGUUAGGUUAAUGGAUGGAGUUCUCUGGGUUGGGCAUGAGGUGUUUAAGAAAGAUUUUUGGGUAUGAGAUUGCGAUGGGUACCAUUCGCUUGUGGGCUGAGUAAAUGCCCACCAAGGCAGCGAUGGGUAGAGGUUCUGAGAGGAAGGUCCCCCACAUUGGAACUGAGACACGGUCCAAACUCCUACGGGAGGCAGCAGUGAGGAAUAUUGGUCAAUGGGCGGAAGCCUGAACCAGCCAAGUAGCGUGCAGGAAGACGGCCCUCCGGGCUGUAAACUGCUUUUAGUUGGGAAUAAAACGGUGCUCGUGAGCCCCCUUGCAUGUACCAUCAGAAAAAGGACCGGCUAAUUCCGUG